rnacentral:rRNA from 1 species
AACGCUGGCGGCGCGCUUAACACAUGCAAGUCGAGCGAGAACCAGUCCUUCGGGACUGGGGACAGCGGCGAACGGGUGAGUAACACGUGGGUAAUCUGCCCUCGAUUCUGGGAUAGCCCGGGGAAACCCGGAUUAAUACCGGAUAGCCUCGCUGGUCUUCGGGCCGGCGAGAAAAGGUAGCUUCGGCCUCCGAUCGAGGAUGAGCCCGCGGCGGAUUAGCUUGGUGGUGGGGUAACGGCCUACCAAGGCGACGAUCCGUAGCUGGUCUGAGAGGACGAUCAGCCACACGGGGACUGAGACACGGCCCAGACUCCUACGGGAGGCAGCAGUGGGGAAUCUUGCGCAAUGGGCGAAAGCCUGACGCAGCGACGCCGCGUGGGGGAAGAAGGCCUUCGGGUUGUAAACCUCUUUCAGCAGGGACGAAGCCACUCGGGUGAAUAGCCCAGAGGGUGACGGUACCUGCAGAAGAAGCCCCGGCUAACUACGUGCCAGCAGCCGCAGUAAGAC